GACGAACGCUGGCGGCGUGCCUAAUACAUGCAAGUAGAACGCACAGGUUAUACCGUAGCUUGCUACACCAUAGACUGUGAGUUGCGAACGGGUGAGUAACGCGUAGGUAACCUGCCUGGUAGCGGGGGAUAACAAUUGGAAACGAUAGCUAAUACCGCAUAAUAUUAAUUAUUGCAUGCUAAUUAAUUGAACGGUGCAAUUGCACCACUACCAGAUGGACCUGCGUUGUAUUAGAUAGUAGGUGAGGUAACGGCUCACCUAGGGGACGAUACAUAGCCGACCUGUGAGGGUGGUCCGCCACCCUGGGACCGGGACCCGGCCCCGACCCCUUCGGGGGGCAGCAGUAGGGAAUCUUCGGCAAUGGACGAAAGUCUGACCGAGCCACGCCGCGGUGGUGAAGAAGGGUCUCGGAUCUUAAAGCUCCGUUUUUAGAGAAGAACGGGGGUGAGAGUGGAAACUGCACACUGUGACGGUAUCUGACCAGAAAGGGCCGGCUAACUACGUG
rnacentral:rRNA from 1 species